AUCGCUUCUUGGCCUUUUGGCUAAGAUCAAGUGUAGUAAGAAGUUACAUUUCAUCAAAACUUAUAUAUAGAAAUGGAAAUCUAU
rnacentral:snRNA from 1 species